AGUGAACGCUGGCGGCAGGCCUAACACAUGCAAGUCGAGCGGCAGCGCGUCCGACCACCCUCGGGUGGUCGGAUGGCGGCGAGCGGCGGACGGGUGAGGAAUGCAUCGGAAUCUGCCUCGUUGUGGGGGAUAACGUAGGGAAACUUACGCUAAUACCGCAUACGACCUACGGGUGAAAGUGGGGGACCUUCGGGCCUCACGCGAUGAGAUGAGCCGAUGCCGGAUUAGCUAGUUGGCGGGGUAAAGGCCCACCAAGGCGACGAUCCGUAGCUGGUCUGAGAGGAUGAUCAGCCACACUGGAACUGAGACACGGUCCAGACUCCUACGGGAGGCAGCAGUGGGGAAUUUUGGACAAUGGGGGCAACCCUGAUCCAGCCAUGCCGCGUGAGUGAAGAAGGCCUGGGUUGUAAGUACGUCUUUCUAGACGGAACGAAA
rnacentral:rRNA from 1 species